rnacentral:lncRNA from 1 species
GAGCAUCAAAACUUUGCAGUUCCAUGUCUUCCACAAACGCCAUAUAUUAUUGAUAGAACAUUUAAGUAUUUUUCAAACGAACACUUAGAUGAAAAAGAUAAUACACUAAACUACAACGUGUUGAAAAAGAACCAAACAUCAAAUCGAUAAUGAAGGUUGCCCACACAUUAACAAAUUACCCACUACAGGAAUUCUAGCCUCAGCACAAAAUCAAGUUUCGACCAUUCAAUAGCAAAAAAAUUACUGAAGGAAACCUAAGAGUUAAGCCAAUUAACCUAUAAUCCUCACUGCCAAAAUCUUACUAGCUAACCAACUAAUGACUCCAAGAUUCUUGUUAGAAACCAUACUGCAAAAUCUAAGAACUUCUAUUAUUAUUCUUUUUUCUUUCAGUACAAAUUUAGUAAUUACAUAAAUUGGAAUUGGACAAUUCAAGUAAGAAGACAAGAUAUGUUCGUAAGAUGUACCAUUUCAUAAGCCACAUGCUGAUAACCCUUUCGACUCAUAGUAUAGAGAAGCUUCUGAUUAGUUCUCAUGUCACUGAACCUGGAACUUUUUUCCCAUUAAAAAAACAAAGUAUAAAACAACAAUAAUUAUAAAAAUUUAAGCUUCAUGUGCAAAUAUACUUACAUGAAAAUCAGCAGAAAGAGUAUUCUCGACAAAUUUUACCCAAACUUCUUCAAAAUUGACGUUCUUUGGUCUGAGUAAAAGCAUUUGAAUUCCUAUCCUCUACAUUCUAUAAAAUGAUACAAAAAUUACAAAAGUUAUUCGACCAAAUUUGAUUCACUUGGUUGCUCUCU